AGGAUCAUUAUUGAAAUAAAUCUGACGGGUUGUUGCUGGUUCUCAAGGGAGCAUGUGCACACCCUUGUCAUCUUUAUAUCUCCACCUGUGCACCUUUUGUAGACCUUUUUAGGUCUAUGUUGCUUCAUUUACCCCCCAAUGUAUGUUAAUGGAAUGCUGUGAUUAUAAAAUAUAUACAACUUUCAGCAACGGAUCUCUUGGCUCUCGCAUCGAUGAAGAACGCAGCGAAAUGCGAUAAGUAAUGUGAAUUGCAGAAUUCAGUGAAUCAUCGAAUCUUUGAACGCACCUUGCGCUCCUUGGUAUUCCGAGGAGCAUGCCUGUUUGAGUGUCAUUAAUAUAUAUUAUCAACCUUCACUUGUUGAGUGGUUUGGAUGUGGGGGUUUGCUGGCCUCUUUAUAAAAAGAGUUCAGCUCUCCUGAAAUGCAUUAGCAGAAACCAUCCUGUUCAUUGGUGUGAUAAUUAUCUACGCUAUUGAAUGUGGAGCAGGUUCGGCUUUCUAACUGUCCUUGGACAAAUUUUAUCAUUAAUGUGACCUCAAAUCAGGUAGGACUACCCGCUGAACUUAAGCAUAUCAAUAAGCGGAGGAAAAGAAACUAACAAGGAUUCCCCUAGUAACUGCGAGUGAAGCGGGAAAAGCUCAAAUUUAAAAUCUGGCAGUCUUCUGGCUGUCCGAGUUGUAAUCUAGAGAAGUGUUAUCCGCGCUGGACCAUGUACAAGUCUCCUGGAAUGGAGCAUCAUAGAGGGUGAGAAUCCCGUCUUUGACAUGGACUGCCAGGGCUUUGUGAUGCGCUCUCAAAGAGUCGAGUUGUUUGGGAAUGCAGCUCAAAAUGGGUGGUAAAUUCCAUCUAAAGCUAAAUAUUGGCGAGAGACCGAUAGCGAACAAGUACCGUGAGGGAAAGAUGAAAAGAACUUUGGAAAGAGAGUUAAACAGUACGUGAAAUUGCUGAAAGGGAAACGCUUGAAGUCAGUCACGUCAUCCAGGGAUCAACCUUGCUUUUGCUUGGUGCACUUUCUGGUUUGACGGGUCAGCAUCAAUUUUGACUAUUGGAAAAAGGUUAAGGGAAUGUGGCAUCUUUGGAUGUGUUAUAGCCCUUGAUCACAUACAAUGGUUGGGAUUGAGGAACUCAGCACGCCGCAAGGCCGGGUAUCUAAUGACCACGUACGUG
rnacentral:rRNA from 1 species